GACGAACGCUGGCGGCGUGCUUAACACAUGCAAGUCGAACGGAAAGGCCCCUUUGGGGGUACUCGAGUGGCGAACGGGUGAGUAACACGUGAGUAACCUGCCCUUGACUUCGGGAUAACUUCAGGAAACUGGGGCUAAUACCGGAUAGGAAUCCUUGCUGCAUGGUGGGGGUUGGAAAGCUUCGGCGGUUUUGGAUGGACUCGCGGCUUAUCAGCUUGUUGGUGGGGUAGUGGCUUACCAAGGCUUUGACGGGUAGCCGGCCUGAGAGGGCGACCGGCCACAUUGGGACUGAGAUACGGCCCAGACUCCUACGGGAGGUAGCAGUGGGGAAUAUUGCACAAUGGGCGGAAGCCUGAUGCAGCAACGCCGCGUGCGGGAUGACGGCCUUCGGGUUGUAAACCGCUUUCAGCAGGGGCGAAGCUUGUGGUGACGGUACCUGCAGAAGAAGCACCGGCUAACUACGUG
rnacentral:rRNA from 1 species